CCCGUAAUCGGAAUGAGUACACUUUAAAUCCUUUAACAAGGAUCCAUUGGAGGGCAAGUCUGGUGCCAGCAGCCGCGGUAAUUCCAGCUCCAAUAGCGUAUAUUAAAGUUGUUGCGGUUAAAAAGCUCGUAGUUGGUUCUGCGUGCCGCGCUGUCGGUUCGCCGCCUGUCGGUGUAACUGGCAUGUCGCGGCAUGUCCUGUCGGUGGUAAACGGGGGGCCCCGGUAUUGCUUUGACUUUUUCGAAAGUCAAUUCUGGUGCCGGGCUGUUUCCCUGUUUGCCGAUCUCCUACUUCGGUGCUCUUAAACGAGUGUCGAGGUAGGCCGACACUAUCACUUUGAACAAAUUAGAGUGCUUAAAGCAGGCUAAAAUCUCUGCCUGAAUAGUGGUGCAUGGAAUGAUAAAAUAGGACCUCGGUUCUAUUUUGUUGGUUUUAGGAAUAUGAGGUAAUGAUCAAUAUGGACAGUCGGGGGCAUUCGUAUUGCGACGUUAGAGGUGAAAUUCUUGGAUCGUCGCAAGACGCACAAAAGCGAAAGCAAUUGCCAAGUAUGUCUUAAUUGAUCAAGAACGAAAGUUAGAGGUUCGAAGGCGAUCAGAUACCGCCCUAGUUCUAACCAUAAACGAUGCCAGCCAGCAAUCCGCCGAUGUUCUUUUUAUGACUCGGCGGGGAGCUUCUACUCGGGAAACCAAAGCUUUUGGGUUCCGGGGGAAGUAUGGUUGCAAAGCUGAAACUUAAAGGAAUUGACGGAAGGGCACCACCAGGAGUGGAGCCUGCGGCUUAAUUUGACUCAACACGGGAAACC
rnacentral:rRNA from 1 species